GCCGCGCUCUAGAGGCCUUGCAGGUGUGGCUGCUGUGUCACGUGUGUAUCAGUAGGUGGCAGAAAGAGAGGCCAUGUCUACACACAGUGUUAUGACCUGUGAACAUCUGAAUGGUUAGGAGCUGAACAUA